ACCCUCGUCCAAGUCACCCCAGAUUCCAAAUUUCUCUGUCUCUCGCACAUAAACAAACCAACAUUUCUCUGUGUUGCAAAAAAUCUCCCCUGUUUACCGCUAUUUUACUUUUUUCUUGGUUAAUCUACCUCCAAUUUCGUGCAAUAAUGGUGCUCGAGGCGACGAUGAUCUGCGUUGACAACUCGGAGUGGAUGCGGAAUGGUGAUUAUUCACCCAAUCGAUUUCAAGCUCAAGCCGACGCCGUUAACCUAAUUUGUGGAGCUAAAACUCAAUCCAAUCCGGAAAAUACAGUGGGAGUCUUAACAAUGGCUGGAAAAGGUGUUCGCGUGUUGGUUACUCCUACUAGUGAUCUUGGCAAGAUCCUGGCCUGCAUGCACGGUUUAGAGAUAGGUGGUGAAAUGAAUUUGGCGGCUGGGAUCCAGGUUGCACAGUUGGCCCUGAAGCAUCGUCAGAACAAGAAGCAGCAACAAAGGAUAAUUGUGUUUGUGGGAAGUCCUGUUAAAUAUGAUAAGAAGGCGUUAGAGUUGAUUGGAAGGAAAUUGAAAAAGAACAGUGUAGCUCUGGACAUUGUAAGCUUUGGUGAAGAAGAUGAAGAAAAGAAUGAGAAGCUUGAGGCAUUGCUUGCUGCCGUAAAUAACAAUGACAGCAGUCAUAUUGUUCACGUUCCUUGUGGUCCAAGUGCUCUUUCGGAUGUGCUUAUCAGUACCCCAAUCUUUACUGGCGAUGGAGAAGGGGGGAGUGGUUUUGCAGCAGCUGCAGCUGCUUCUGGGUAUGAAUUUGUGGAUCCAAACAUGGAUCCUGAACUUGCUCUUGCACUUCGUGUAUCAAUGGAAGAGGAGAGAGCAAGGCAAGAAGCAGCUGCAAAGAAGGCUGCAGAAGAAGUUGCAAAUCAAGAAAAAGGAGAACAGCAGUCCACUUCACAGGAUACAACCAUGACUGACAGUGUGAACCUUGAAACUUCAAGACCUGAAAAAAAGAUACAAGAUCUGACGGAUGAUGAGAAUGCAUUGUUACAGCAAGCCCUGGCUAUGUCCAUGGAUGAUCCUUCCACCAAAGCUGCUGUGCAGGACAUUGACAUGUCAGACGCCUCUGCUGACCAUGAUUUGCAACUUGCCCUUCAAUUGUCUGUGCAAGAAGAAAGUGCAGCAGAUCAAUCAAACCAGACAGAUGUGAAUAAGCUGUUGGCAGAUCAAUCCUUCAUGUCCUCCAUCCUUGCUUCACUCCCAGGUGUUGAUCCAAAUGACCCCCAUGUCAAAGACUUGCUUGCUUCCAUGCAGAAUCAGUCUGAGCAGACCAAGGAAGAAGACAAGGCACCGAAAGAAGAGGAAAAGAAAUGAACAUGUUUGUGUCAAAUGUCUUUCUCAGGUGUAAUUUCAAUUUGAUUGUGCCACAAUGGCUCUAUCAAUAGGUCAAGCAUCUAUUACAGAAAAGAAGUUGUGCGAGGUGUAUAAGUUGGCACUCAAGAUGGUUGUAGUUUUUGUCAAUUAGGAGGCAUAUGCCAUGAACAAUCUUGUUAUGAUCAAGAAUUAAAUGAGCUGUCUAGUACUAUAUAACCUACUGACUUUCGAAAAUGUUAUGUUGUCUCAUUCUAUGUCAAACAGUGACUUUGUUGCAUAUAUAGGUGGCGUGAAUUACUCAAUCUUGGUCGGGAACUUUGUUCUUGUUUUUUCAAGUGUUUAUUUGAAUCAAAUGCCAUCUUUUGUUGCAGCAGAUA